rnacentral:rRNA from 1 species
GAGACAGCAGUAGCCGCGGUAAUACGGAGGGUGCAAGCGUUAAUCGGAAUUACUGGGCGUAAAGCGCACGCAGGCGGUCUGACAAGUCAGAUGUGAAAUCCCCGGGCUUAACCUGGGAACUGCAUUUGAAACUGUCAGGCUGGAGUCUUGUAGAGGGGGGUGGAAUUCCAGGUGUAGCGGUGAAAUGCGUAGAGAUCUGGAGGAAUACCGGUGGCGAAGGCGGCCCCCUGGACAAAGACUGACGCUCAGGUGCGAAAGCGUGGGGAGCAAACAGGAUUAGAUACCCGAGUAGUCCCUGUCUCUUAUAC